rnacentral:misc_RNA from 1 species
GAUGAAGAACGUAGCGAAAUGCGAUAAGUAAUGUGAAUUGCAGAAUUCAGUGAAUCAUCGAAUCUUUGAACGCACAUUGCGCCCCCUGGUAUUCCGGGGGGCAUGCCUGUCCGAGCGUCAUUACAACCCUCAAGCUCAGCUUGGUGUUGGGCCCCGCCGCCCCGGCGGGCCCUAAAGUCAGUGGCGGUGCCGUCCGGCUCCGAGCGUAGUAAUUCUUCUCGCUCUGGAGGUCCGGUCGUGUGCUCGCCAGCAACCCCCAAUUUUUUUCGGGUUGACCUCGGAUCAGGUAGGGAUACCCGCUGAACUUAAGCAUAUCAAUAAGCGGAGGA